AGGCAGGUCUCUGGGCCGCAACUGACGCUGAGGAGCGAAAGCAUGGGGAGCGAACAGGAUUAGAUACCCUGGUAGUCCAUGCCGUAAACGUUGGGCACUAGGUGUGGGACUCAUUCCACGAGUUCCGUGCCGCAGCUAACGCAUUAAGUGCCCCGCCUGGGGAGUACGGCCGCAAGGCUAAAACUCAAAGGAAUUGACGGGGGCCCGCACAAGCGGCGGAGCAUGCGGAUUAAUUCGAUGCAACGCGAAGAACCUUACCAAGGCUUGACAUGCACCGGACGCUGCCAGAGAUGGUGGUUCCGCAAGGUCGGUGCACAGGUGGUGCAUGGUUGUCGUCAGCUCGUGUCGUGAGAUGUUGGGUUAAGUCCCGCAACGAGCGCAACCCUUGUCCUAUGUUGCCAGCGGGUUAUGCCGGGGACUCAUGGGAGACUGCCGGGGUCAACUCGGAGGAAGGCGGGGAUGACGUCAAAUCAUCAUGCCCCUUAUGUCUUGGGCUUCACGCAUGCUACAAUGGCCGGUACAGAGGGCUGCGAUACCGUAAGGUGGAGCGAAUCCCAAAAAGCCGGUCUCAGUUCGGAUUGGGGUCUGCAACUCGACCCCAUGAAGUCGGAGUCGCUAGUAAUCGCAGAUCAGCAACGCUGCGGUGAAUACGUUCCCGGGCCUUGUACACACCGCCCGUCAAGUCACGAAAGUUGGUAACACCCGAAGCU
rnacentral:rRNA from 1 species